AUGAGUGUGAUGUGCGUCCUCAUCUGGACUCUCCUCUGCUGCUGCUUCACAGAGUCCAGAGGACAGGUCACAGUGACUCAGCCUGGAGCAGUGAGCUCUGCUGUGGGAGGAAAUGUCUCCAUCUCAUGUAGGACCAGUCGGGAUGUUUAUGUUUAUAACAGCAAUCACCUUUUAGCCUGGUACCAACAGAAAGAUGGAGAAUCUCCUAAACUACUCAUUUACUAUGCUAGCUAUCGACAAUCAGGGAUUCCAAGUCGUUUUACAGGCAGUGGAUCAAACUCUGAUUUCACUCUGACCAUCAGUGGAAUUCAGGCUGAAGAUGCAGCAGUUUAUUACUGUCAGAGUUUUCACUACAUCAACAGUCAGGAUGUGUUCACUCAGUGAAAAAGAGUCAAACAAAAACCUCCCUCAUUCUGGCUGAACAGAAACUGAACCGAUACACUUCAAUGAAGACACACACACACCCGCACACGCAUACACACACACACUCGACACAUGGGCGAGGCAGGCAGGAAUUGAACCUGCAAUCUCCCGAUGGGGGGGUCGACCACCCUACCACUGCACCUCGGGCGGCCCACACCUUUUACUAUGCCACAAUGUCACGAGUAACUGCAUUGAAACAUCCCUCUCUCUUGUUUCCAGCCAACAAAAAACAGCAACUGCCCCGAACCCUGACAGAUCUAGAGAAGAUCUGUAUGGAGGAAUGGGCCAA